rfam:Oryza barthii chromosome 8, whole genome shotgun sequence.
AAAAGACAAACUCAUAGGUUUCCGUGUCCAACGUUUGACCGUCCGUCUUAUUUGAAAAAAAUUAUGAAAAAAAUUAAAAAGAUAAGUCACGCAUAAAGUAUUAAUCAUGUUUUAUCAUUUAACAACUAUGAAAAUAUUGAUUAUAAAAAAAUUCAUAUAAGAUGGAUAGUCAAACGUUAGACACAAAAAUCCAGGGUUUGUUUUUUU